AGGGUCCUUUUCAACCAAUUGUUCCGGUAAGUUUUCUUGUAAUUGACCUAUUUAUAGUUAAACCCCCACCUUAUAAAAUUGUAAUGCGCUACAGAAUCUGUUGGCGUUAUAUAAAUGGCAAUAAUGCUUUACAUUACUUCGUAAAAACUGCCUGACAGUUCGCAAUGCAGCUACUCUGGUAGCCGCGAUUUUGCAAGCAUCAAAGUGCUGACUACAGAGAGAUUAGCAUAGAAAAAUUGGCUGCCUCGGCUGUCAGACCGGGACUACCACAGUAGGAAAGUAUAAAGUUAUGGGAUAAAUAUUGAAAUUAGUGAGUAAAG